rnacentral:rRNA from 1 species
AUUGAACGCUGGCGGCAGGCUUAACACAUGCAAGUCGAGCGAGCGGCGGACGGGUGAGUAAUGUCUGGUAAACUGCCUGAUGGAGGGGGAUAACUACUGGAAACGGUAGCUAAUACCGCAUACCAUCAGAGGGGCCCAGAUGGGAUUAGCUAGUAGGUGGGGUAAUGGCUCACCUAGGCGACGAUCCCUAGCUGGUCUGAGAGGAUGACCAGCAACACUGGGACUGAGACACGGUCCAGACUCCUACGGGAGGCAGCAGUAGGGAAUAUUGCACAAUGGGCGCAAGCCUGAUGGAGCCACGCCGCGUGUGUGAAGAAGGCCUUCGGGUUGUAAAGCACUGUCGGCGAGGAGGCGUUACUCGCCGAAGAAGCACCGGCUAACUCCGUGCCAGCAGCCGCGGUAAUAC